AUAUUAAUGUCACAUUCUUUUAGAAGCCAGGGUAUUAUUCUUCUGUGACUAUCAAAAGUAUCAAUAUGCAGUUACUUCUAACAUUUAUGUGCCGCGGAACAGCGGUUGGGAAUCACUGGAUUGGAGCACAGUUAUGGGGCGAAUCUGAUUGGCUCCUUGUGUUUUGGCUUGAUGUAAAUCCUGUCCGCUGGCGGGACUCGGCUUCUCUGGCUUUUCGUCUGAGAUAAACACUACUUCACCAAAGAGACUUGAGUAUCCAAUUCUUCGUUGACCUUCAGCAUUCAGUUGUUUGUCUUCACCUUUUCAGGCUAAAACCUGAGAAGCCAUCAUCAUGUUGUUGUUUCACACCAGAGUUUCCUGUGUCCAGCAUCUUCAAGACAGACUAAGCGAACUUUUCAUAUUUUUUGCACAUUUAUAUUUAGGUUAGGUUAGGAGUAGGUUUGGUUUAUAGUAGAGUAUUUAGUUUGUAUAGUUUAGCUUUGUAUGCUAGUCUAGGGACAGUUAAGUUAGCACAUUAAUUUAGUUCAAAUCACUCACAGUUGCAUAUUAUUGUUACAAUUGUGUUAUUUUGUGAGUUUUUGUUGUACGGGCUAUUGUAUAUUGCAGGACCAAGUGAGACGAGGAAGACCACUGCUUCCACUGCGCUCAGAAAGUGCGUUGGACAAGUCUCGACCUUGCAUAUCCUGUCUCACUUAGCCCAACCACUUCCGAACAUGGGGUACCUCAAAGACCUCCGUCAACCAGCCGGCUGUGGAUGAUGGAUAACGCACCCACAACUCCUUCUCCAGUCUACAAGGUUCUGAAAAUACAGACACCCCCACAGUCCAAGAACAGCUGGAUGACCUCUGGACCCACUUGCCCCGUUCACCAGUUGAAAAGAUAGGCUUUAAAAAAAUUUUUAAAUUGUUAAUUCUGCACAAAGUGAUACACAAAACAUUGCAUGUAUUCCAUUUCAACAAACACAAACAUGAAAUGUAUAUUUAAAUACAUGACUUAAUGCAAAUCAAUCAUACUAAACAUCAUCUUCUUUUUUUUUUAAA